rnacentral:misc_RNA from 1 species
AAUGUUGCAAGCAGCUUCUGAAUGGUAUAGAAUUUAUGAAUUGCUGCUUGCUCCUUGCGCUAAUGAACUUGUUUUAUUUGUUUAUUUUUUUGUACAAUUGGCUCCAACACACUUAUUCUAUUUUAAUUGAGAGAUUUAUAGUUGGUGUAGAAGAAAGCUUAGGAAACUGUUGGAUUUAAUGGCCUCUGACUCAUCAUGAUAAAUGGGUGUGCAUUCUCAAAUAAUUUAUAAGUUUAUUGCCUUGAAAUUGUGUAGAAUUCAUGAAAUUCCACCAUGAGAGUUGGGUUCUAUUUUUCUUGUUGGGCUCUUUUCUUCUAUGUUCUUAAUACACUCCCUGAAUGUUUGAAUGUGCCAAUCUUAUAGGGGUUAGUAAUGAAUGUUAUGGUUUCAAUCAUGCAUCCUUAUUGAUUGCGAUAUUUGUACCUUGAUCGAUUUUGCAAAUUGUUUUGUUGGAAGUGAGGGCAACUUAGAUGGGCUGUAGCAUUUUGUGUUCCGUCAUGUUUCUCAAACAUUUGUGUAGUGAAAAUAUCACCUAGUGACCUAGAUAUUUAAAAGCAGCAUCUUACUUAUGUACAAAAUUUUCAUGUGCCCGCUGUUGUAUCUAUAAAGUGAAAAGGAUAAGUUGAAGGAUGUGCUGUGUGUUUUUUAUGAGAUCAAAAGGCCUGAAAACUUUUUUCAGCAAUGAAUUGCUGACAUGAUAUUAUUUUUACAGCCUCGCAUCUUACAUGACAGAUG